ACACACCUUUCAGGAAAAAAAGGAAAACCUCCCCCUCAUUGUUGCGCUGGACUACAAUAAACACAAAUACCCUUUUUAAAAGAUUUUCUUUCCAUUUAGAUAAAUGGAUUUAUAAGACUUUUCCAAGGGAGCAUUAGCUAAAUAACAGCCCAAGAGCAGGUAAGCAAAAAGAGUCAUGCUUUUCUUCAGUCUCAGUGUUUACCAAGUAAAUCUUAACAAAGUUAAAAUGUAGUAAACAACCAAGAAAACAGCAUUUCUAGAUCACUGGACCUUUCACCUUGUGGUAACUGAAUGAUUGUAAAGCAAUUUCCCUCCUCUGCAAACGAUCCUAUGCAGAAAUCAGGAUGAAUGGUGUAUUUGGGUCCUUUCAAAUUCAAAUGUGUUAUUUUAAGAUGAAGAGAAACAUACAACAUCCAGGAGGACAACAAAUGCACUUAUUGUUUUUGGGGGUUUCUAAUGAUCUUUUAAAAGUCCGGCUUUUCCAUAACAAAAUUUCUUUUACAUUUUCUCCCAUUAGGACAAAUUAAAAUAAAGCUCAACAUACUGGUCAAAGAUUGAUCUUCCAAAAAUGGAACACCACACAAACAUGACCAACAAAAUGAAGCACAGAGACAACAAGACUUUAUUUCAGAAUUAUUGAAAACAAAAUUGGAAAUGGUAUAUUUUGUGGGCUGUUAGGAAAAGCACAGAGCAUUCCUUUUUUUAUUAUCCUAAGGCUUCUCAAGACAAAUCUGCCUAGAGAUGAACAGUUGUGACUCAUGCAAUUUAUUGUUCUGAAAACAGUCACCUGUGAUAAGUUGUCCUUGUUUAGUAAGAAGAGAUUCUUAAACAUUUGACUAAAUCCCAGCCUCGGAUACAGCUGUACAUACUGUCUCAAUCAGAAUUAAUUCAGCUUCAAAGAUGUGAUCUAUUAUCUUUCUGCGCAGCUUCAUCAAAAUGGUAUUUUACAUGAACCCAAAGUCUGGGCUGGCAGUCCCGUUAGACUGCCAGGAAAACUCCCACAAGUGUUACUGGUUGGGAUUUCCCAAAUUUCUUGAGGGGAGAUCAGAAGAAAGGUCAAAGUCUGAGAGUUUGGGGACUUUCUCGGCGGGAAUAAAAAGGUGACUUGGUCCCUGGGCCCUGAAUACCAACUUCAGAGUUGAAAGGCCAAGGAGAAAAACAUCCUGAGCUUAACUGCGUCGAUUUCCCUUGGAGCCUCGGCCAAAUCCACUGGGCACCUGUGAACUUGGCCUACUAAAAUAAAAAUUGCAGCAUGAGAGGAGGAGGCACCAUGAGAGUGCUGGCAGCAAGGUGCUAUUGGAGACGAGACGGCAGUGCUGCCAGGUGUUCUGAAGGAGGAAGAGGCCAUCAUGGAAAAAGACGAACUCCUGAGGGAAGCACAGGCGGAGGUGGCACGAGAACGUCAGCUGAGAAGCAUUGAGCUGAAGCCCCUUAAUCAAUUAAGUAACUUUGUAACUAUGUCGAGAGACAAACCUCCAGAGUCUAAAUGAAUCUACAUGGGUAAAGAAUGCUGAGAUCCAGAUCAACACAGUUAUCUAAGCAACCCUAUUAAGACAAAACUUCGAAGGAGUUAUGAAAUCACCUGGAUUCACCAUGCCUUAUACAGAACCCUACCAAAAGGACCUAUAAAACCGCAAACCUUAAACCCUUAAAUUCGUCUCUUCUCUGAGGUUGCCCAAGCUCCUACCUGAGUGUGAAAUGCUUUAU